UGUAGAAAAAAUAUUUGUAAAAGCAUAAAUCACUAGUAGGUAUAGAUAUUGUAAUAAACAAAAUUAGCAAUUAUGUUCUGAUCUUCAAGAUCAUACUGUAAGGAAAAUGAACAAUAACAUUCAUAAAGAAAUGACCGCACUUUGUCUCAUCUGCGGAAGACAGUCACUGUCUUCCGCAGAUACAGUCAUAAUUACCCCGAAACAGCCUGGGACGGCCAUCUCCAAUUGGAACACAGUCAGUGUUCCUAUUGGAGAUGGUUGUCCCAGGUUGUCUCGGGUAAUUAUUGUAUCAAUUAAGUGUGAUACAAUCAAUCCCUGACUGACUGACUGACAGAUCUGUAUUUACAUAGGAUUAGUUUUAAUUAACAACCUGGACCCUUCCUGAAAAAUUGAAAAAGUGUGGGACUUUGAAAUGAAUCUGGCUCCUCCAAGAUGGUAAAUGAAUAUUUUAUCAUGCCAUUUCUGUUUAAUAUAACUAUUUUUAGUUUU
rnacentral:lncRNA from 1 species